UACGAAGGGGACUAGCGUUGUUCGGAAUUACUGGGCGUAAAGCGCGCGUAGGCGGCUCGCUAAGUCAGGGGUGAAAUCCCAGGGCUCAACCCUGGAACUGCCUUUGAUACUGAGGAUCUUGAGUUCGGGAGAGGUGAGUGGAACUGCGAGUGUAGAGGUGAAAUUCGUAGAUAUUAGGAAGAACACCAGUGGCGAAGGCGGCUCACUGGUCCGGUACUGACGCUGAGGUGCGAAAGCGUGGGGAGCAAACAGG
rnacentral:rRNA from 1 species